AUGCUGCUUCCUGGUGUGAUGUUACUGACAUGAACUGUGACCAUAUAGAUCAUUGUUGCAACCAAGGUCAUAUAGUGGUACCAAAUCUUGUACAGGGGAGGUCAAGUGAGGUGUCUAUGACAAGGUUACGAUUUUCUGGUUAUG